GACGGAGGAUGCAAGCGUUAUCCGGAAGGAUUGGGCGUAAAGCGUCCGCAGGUGGCAGUUCAAGUCUGCUGUCAAAGACCGGGGCUUAACUUCGGAAAGGCAGUGGAAACUGAACAGCUAGAGUAUGGUAGGGGCAGAGGGAAUUCCUGGUGUAGCGGUGAAAUGCGUAGAGAUCAGGAAGAACAUCGGUGGCGAAGGCGCUCUGCUGGACCAUAACUGACACUCAGGGACGAAAGCUAGGGGAGCGAAUGGG
rnacentral:rRNA from 1 species